GAUGCCGCUGCCGGUUCAGGUGUUUAACCUGCAGGGGACUGUAGAGCCCAUGCAGAUUGAUGUAGACCCACAGGAGGAUUCCCAGAAUGCACCUGAUGUCAACUAUGUGGUGGAGAACCCCACUCUGGAUCUAGAGCAGUAUGUGGCCAGCUACAGUGGUCUGAUGCGCAUUGAGCGGCUACAGUUCAUUGCUGACCACUGCCCACCACUGCGGGUGGAGGCCCUGAAGAUGGCUCUCUCCUUUGUGCAGAGGACCUUCAAUGUGGAUAUGUAUGAGGAGAUCCACCGCAAGCUCUCAGAGGCCACCUGGGAGCUGCAAAGCGCACCAGAUGCCAUCCCUGAGAGUGGUAUAGAGCCCCCACCCCUGGACACGGCCUGGGUUGAGGCCACUCGGAAGAAGGCCCUGCUGAAGCUGGAGAAGCUGGACACAGAUCUAAAAAACUAUAAGGGCAACUCCAUCAAGGAGAGCAUCCGGCGCAGCCAUGAUGACCUGGGUGACCACUACCUAGACUGUGGAGACCUCAGCAAUGCCCUCAAGUGUUACUCUCGGGCCCGAGACUAUUGCACUAGUGCCAAACAUGUCAUCAGCAUGUGCCUCAAUGUCAUCAAGGUCAGUGUCUACUUGCAAAAUUGGUCUCAUGUGCUGAGCUAUGUCAGUAAGGCUGAGUCAACCCCAGAGAUUGCUGAGCAGCGCGGAGAACAGGACAGCCAGACCCAAGCUAUCCUCACCAAACUGAAGUGUGCUGCAGGCUUGGCUGAGCUGGCUGUGCGCAAGUAUAAGCAGGCUGCCAAGUGCUUCCUGCUGGCCUCAUUUGAUCACUGUGAUUUCCCUGAGCUGCUUUCCCCCAGUAAUGUGGCCAUCUAUGGUGGUUUGUGUGCUUUGGCCACCUUUGACCGGCAGGAGCUGCAGCGCAAUGUCAUCUCCAGCAGUUCCUUCAAGUUAUUCCUGGAGCUGGAGCCACAGGUCCAAGACAUCAUCUUCAAAUUCUAUGAGUCCAAGUAUGCAUCGUGCCUGAAGAUGCUGGAUGAGAUGAAGGACAAUCUGCUCUUGGACAUGUACCUGGCUCCUCACGUCUGGACCCUGUAUACCCAGAUUCGCAAUCAUGCUCUCAUCCAGUAUUUCAGUCCCUACGUUUCGGCGGACAAGCACAAGAUGGCCACAGCUUUCAAUACCACUGUGGCAGCCCUGGAGGAUGAGCUGACACAGCUCAUCCUGGAGGGACUCAUUAACGCUUGCAUUGACUCACAUAGCAAGAUCCUGUAUGCAAGGGAUGUAGAUCAGCGCAGCACCACCUUUGAGAAGUCCCUGCUGAUGGGCAAGGAGUUCCAGCGACGGGCCAAGGCCAUGAUCCUGAGGGCAGCUGUGCUGCGCAACCAGAUCCAUGUGAGGUCUCCUCCCAGAGAAGGGAGCCAGGGAGAACUGACGCCAGCGAACAGCCAGUCGCGUAUGAGCACCAACAUGUGAGGGGUGCAUGCCUCUCCCUGCACCAC